rnacentral:rRNA from 1 species
UACGGGGGGGGCAAGCGUUGUUCGGAAUUACUGGGCGUAAAGGGCGUGUAGGCGGCCAACUAAGUCCGACGUGAAAUCCCCAGGCUUAACCUGGGAACUGCGUCGGAUACUGGAUGGCUUGAAUCCGGGAGAGGGAUGCAGAAUUCCAGGUGUAGCGGUGAAAUGCGUAGAUAUCUGGAGGAAUACCGGUGGCGAAGGCGGCAUCCUGGACCGGCAUUGACGCUGAAGCGCGAAAGCCAGGGGAGCGAACGGG